GCCGCACGGUGAUCUUUAAUUGCUUUUAUCUUUUUUGACUUGACAUUGGCAAUCAUACAACUUCUCCUUAUUUUCAUAAUGCUGAAAAGACCAUUCAGACUUAAAAAAAGGAAACCACGAAGUAGUUUCCAGUAAUAUAACUUGAACACAAGUACUUGCUAUUCAAAGUGUCUACCUAUCCAUAUUGUUUUCGCGGUAAAAGGCAAAAACAUCAAGAAAGAUAAACAUUGUUAUUGAAG
rnacentral:lncRNA from 1 species